GACGAACGCUGGCGGCGUGCUUAACACAUGCAAGUCGAACGAUGAAGCCCAGCUUGCUGGGUGGAUUAGUGGCGAACGGGUGAGUAACACGUGGGUGAUCUGCCCUGCACUCUGGGACAAGCCUGGGAAACUGGGUCUAAUACCGGAUAUGACCUCUUGCUGCAUGGCGAGGGGUGGAAAGUUUUUCGGUGCAGGAUGAGCCCGCGGCCUAUCAGCUUGUUGGUGGGGUAAUGGCCUACCAAGGCGACGACGGGUAGCCGGCCUGAGAGGGCGACCGGCCACACUGGGACUGAGACACGGCCCAGACUCCUACGGGAGGCAGCAGUGGGGAAUAUUGCACAAUGGGCGAAAGCCUGAUGCAGCGACGCCGCGUGAGGGAUGACGGCC
rnacentral:rRNA from 1 species